rnacentral:ncRNA from 1 species
UUAAUGGCAAUGACAGGGACAGUAAAUUAUUCAUCAGCUUUUUCCAGAGAGCCGGGUAUGGUGGAAGCCCGGCAAAGGCAGGAAUAAUUGAAUAUCACCCUGGAGCCCCGUGCCGAAAAGCAUCUGCUGACUAAGCACAGGCGUCACAUCCACGUUACGGAUGUUUGAGCGGACAGUUUUGAACUGUCUAUCAGGGUGGUACCGCGGGAGUAUACAAACCUUCUCGUCCCUAUU